GUGCUUGCUUCGGCAGCACAUCUACUAAAAUUGGAACGAUGUAGAGAAGAUUAGCAGGAAUGACACAAAUUUGUGAAGUGCUCCAUAUUAAA
rnacentral:snRNA from 1 species